rnacentral:lncRNA from 1 species
AAUUAAUUAUAAAAAUAUCUUAAUCAAAUCUUAGAUCUUAAAUAAAUCAUAAUUAAUUUUUAAUCAACUUCUAAAACUUAAAAAAAUCUUUAAAAUCCUAUAGAAAAUUAAAAAAUCAAUAAUUAAUAAUUAAACCAUUGAUUUUGACACAAAAUUUUAAUACCUUGCAACAACUAAAUAAGAAACAAGUACAAAAAAAAUGAAGAAGAUUGCACAUACCAAUAGGAAGCAAAGCUCUUAAA